AUGGCGGAGGUACCGACCACCAAGCAUCAUCAUGGCGAGACGUCCGACAAGAGCUGCAACCUCGACGAUGUUCACGUCCCCGGCGAGAAGCGCGCGUACACCAAAACGCUCAAAGGGGUUGAGCUCCAUGGCAAGGAAACAUUGGAGAUCGUCUGCACCAGCGAACCAGACAAGGCCGACGAGAUGAUCUCCAUGCUCUAG
rnacentral:rRNA from 1 species